rnacentral:rRNA from 1 species
UACGUAGGAUGCGAGCGUUAAUCGGAAUUACUGGGCGUAAAGCGUGCGCAGGCGGCUUUGCAAGACAGAUGUGAAAUCCCCGGGCUUAACCUGGGAACUGCAUUUGUGACUGCAUGGCUGGAGUGCGGCAGAGGGGGAUGGAAUUCCGCGUGUAGCAGUGAAAUGCGUAGAUAUCUGGAGGAACACCGGUGGCGAAGGCGGCAUCCUGGACCGGCAUUGACGCUGAGGCGCGAAAGCCAGGGGAGCAAACGGG